UACGGAGGGUGCAAGCGUUAUCCGGAAUCAUUGGGUUUAAAGGGUCCGUAGGCGGUUUAAUAAGUCAGUGGUGAAAGCCCAUCGCUCAACGGUGGAACGGCCAUUGAUACUGUUAAACUUGAAUUAUUAGGAAGUAACUAGAAUAUGUAGUGUAGCGGUGAAAUGCUUAGAGAUUACAUGGAAUACCAAUUGCGAAGGCAGGUUACUACUAAUGGAUUGACGCUGAUGGACGAAAGCGUGGGUAGCGAACAGG
rnacentral:rRNA from 1 species